rnacentral:tRNA from 1 species
UCCUGGCUGGCUCAGUCAGUGGAGCAUGUGACUCUUGACUUUAGGGUUGUGAGUUCGAUUCUCACGUUGGGUU